rnacentral:lncRNA from 1 species
GAGUUAGUUGAAGAAAACCGAGUUUGAAUGCUCUUUUGAAACGACAAGAACGAGCUUUGAAGAAGUAUGAGGGUGAGGAGGCACAACUACCCCAGCUAAUCAAAACGCAUAGUGAUGAAAUGCGUGUCUUGCAGACCAAAUAUAAGCAGUUGAAAACAAAAUGUCAUGAUAUGGAACAAAAAUUGAAGGGACGGGACAAUGAACUUAAUUGUCUUCGAGAACAGCACAAACAUUUGCUGCAUCUGUCCAAAGAUAAGCACCUUGGGAACGUGAGAAACUCAGACAGCAAGUAGAGGAGCUUCUGGAAACAGUCAACGCUCAAGAAGGGAAAAUCAAGACUUUAAUGAGGAAAGUUGAAUUGGAGAGCAAGAAUUAUAAACAUCAGUUGAGGUUAGAGAUUGGAAAACACCGAGAGACGCAGCGGCAACUCUCUCAAGCUUUAUCUACAGUUCAAAAACUAGAAGCAGCUCUGGAGAAAUAUUUAACAACAUCCAACAGGACACUUCAUUUCACGAAUAAUAGUGUUGUAGGACCUCUUCCAGCAAUAUCCAAACAGCUUCUAUCCAACACUCAAACAUCACCUAUGAAUACAAAAUUUGAGAAAAACUGUGCUCAUGAACUCUCAGGUCAAGAAAAAAAUGAAAGCGACUCGAAUCCAGCCACCCUCUCAUCAUCUGUGCCAAAUUCUGAGUAUGAAGGCAGUGAAGUUUCUGGCUCAAACGCAAAAAUGUCCAACAGUUCAUCCAACUCUCGUAAAACAAAAUCAAAAGGAUGGGCACUGUUCUCUUGCACCUAUGCAGCAGUCUUAAGAGAGCCGGAAAGCCAAAUUGCUGGAUCAGAAACUUUGACUUCCUGGUCUGUCAGCUGUCAAACAUGAAGCAAGUCAACUCCCCAGAAGGCCUCUGCGAAAAUAUUUGCACUUGUUUUUCUUUUUCUCAAACUGCAUCAAAAUGCAUUUCUUCAAGUACACUGCAGCAUGUCGUAAAAGUUUAAAGUGUAAAAAGAGUGUUAUCAAUUUUUUAAUGAAUUUUUAAGCUACGUAAAAAGGUGGAAAGGAUCAAAAGAGGUGUAAAAAUGUAAUAUUAUCAAAUUCAUGAUAAAAUAAAUCUAGUUCGAGAAAGGAAUCCUAUCUACAACAUGCUAACUACUCCAUCAACCGAUCUCAUGAGAUAGUGCAAGCGUGUCGACACAAUCAGUUCUUGGUGCUUCACAUAACUGUUUCUGUCCGAAAUAUGGGGCUUGGAAGGGCUUCUCAGAGGUAUUUUGGUAAAAAUACUGAUCGAUAUCAACACAAGUCACAAGUAAAAUCGUUAAAAUUGGGAGUGGACUAUAGUCCGGGACUAUAAGCUUAUAGGGACUAUAGACUAUAAUCCCAACCUCCCCAGGAAGUAUUUUUUUAAAAUUUUGGUUUUUCGUGUCUUACCACAGAAAUAGGUGUUAGCUGCUCAAAUCCUUUUUGUUUGUAUACUUUUUGACCUAUAAAAAAUAUCAUGGCAGCACUUCAAAAUUCUGUCUCUAAUCCCAGAACUCAGAAAUUCUCACCAACUUGAUGGGAUUGGAAAAAGCAAGUAGAUGAGUUGAUGCCGAUAUGAUGGUUGCAGCUUACGAACAUUGGAAAUAAGAGAAGCCAAAAUUUCUUACUCAGAAGAGAAGUGAGAGACUAGUUUCAGGAUCAUUAACCAUCCUCACGCUCAGGUGUAGCCUCUCUAGUUCUGAAUUUCUCUAAACGACAGCUGAAUAAUUGGCAUCCAAUUAGCUGUUUUGUAAUUUUUUUUUGUUUACCCAAAUUGGCGAGAAUUGUCCGUUCACCAGAGACAGCUCUCUGCAGUAUUGCUAUUAUAUUCUCAUGAUUCAAGUCAUUAAAUAGGCAUGCUGAUCACUCAGUAAUUAGCUGCCUAGCAUCACAAGUAAAAGUCUUAAAAAAUUCUUCUUGGGAAAAUUAAUAUGUGCUAGCAAGCUUUUUAUGCUGAAAAUAAGAAGAAAUUAAAAAUGUGUGGUUUGAGUGUUCAAUCCUUUUUUAUAGCAAUAUGAGUUUCAAAGAUUAAAGUACCCAGAGGUAGUUCUAUUAUUACCUGCUGUUUCUCAUGCGAAAGCGUACCUUCUCCGUUAAGUAUGGACUCUCCGGGCUGAUUUUCGAAAUUUUGUGUUUGUUGGUGACUAGACAUUGAAUAAAAUGAAGUAGAGUCUUAUCAUUGGUUUAUUUCAUUGCUCAAAGUUCACAAGUUCUUUUUAUCAUAGUGUAAUUACUGGGCACGACAGUCGACCAGCUAGACUCCUCCUUAGUCGUGCUUCAGUUUUUCUAAGUUUACAUUAUUUUCACUCAAGGUCGAGGUUCAAAGUCAAGAGAGUUGUUUCAUUAGAUUGAAGACUGAUUCAAAUAUGAACAUAGGAAAUGAAACCGGAAACUCUUUUUUUUCUCUCUUUUUUCCAAGUAUAAGAUUUCUCAUUUUUUCUAGACUCCACACUGACUUCAAUAUCUUAAUGAAGUACUUUAAGUUUUCAGAAAAAUGUUUCAGAACUUGAUUGAUCGAUGAAUGAGAGAUUCUCUACGUGGAAAUCGUACACUUUUAAUUUCCAAUCAUCUUUAGAAAUUACCGGUAAUAAUAAAAUUAUGCAGGUGCUUUUCAUCCAGAGGUACUAAUGCAUUAGAAGCUGAAUGAUUCUUGGAGUACAAGUACCUGGAUACAUUUUCAGAGAAUCCUACAUAUACAUUUUUUGAGGUCAGGAGGAAAAUCUCUAGAAGUAGAAGAAACUUAAUAAUUACACAAACUGGAUUUAAUAGAACCAAUCAAGUUUUGUGUAGGAUUCCAUUUUAUCAAGGUUGUAUUGGAAAAAAAUCAAUUUGUAGAAACUCUUACAAAAUUCUUUUAGUAUUUGCUCAGGAAAUCCUUUUCAAUCAGUUUUUUUUUUUUAAAUUCUGUGAAAUUUACUGAUUUGAGUUUUUUUUAAAAUGAAGAUUACUUUUUAAGAUUGAGAAGAUUUGAGUUUUUUGACAUUUUUUGAAAAUUACAGCCGACGUCUACUUUAAGAGUCUUAGUAUAACACUUUUUACCAAAAUUUUACCUCUCAUGAAUUCUACUGAAUGAAGUACUCACAAAGGGUUUUCUGGAACGAAAUUUGUACUUCAUCGUUUUUUAAGAGAUGUGUUUCUAAAAUUUAUGAGUUUUCUGAGGUUAUUUUUUUAAUAUUUGGUGCUCAUAGAGAAUGUCUUUGCUGAAAUAUGCUGCUCUUGGGAGAACCUUCUUUAGUCUACUUUAGUCCAUAUGCCCUAGUAGUUAAAAAAUAUUUAUGUAGCAGGCUGAAUCAUUUCUGACUCAUGCCACACAGACUAGUUGAAAGACAAUUUAUUUAUAAAAUAAAGGAAUUUUUUUCACUUCCUCCGCCUCCCAGCUAAGAAAAACGGCAAGUAUUCCCGCCUUUCAAAAUGAGGGAAACUUAUGUCUGCAAAUUUUAUGUUGGCAUUACGUACUUAUAGGGUGUCCCAGAAUUUCCCAAUUUUUUCUCUUCAACUGGCAACCCCCUCCCCCCUUAUUGUGACACUUGAAAGAAGAUGAGGAAAGAAAAGUUUUGGUGCUAUUCGCAGGUCGCCAUUUUGAUUUUUAACAACAUGGCGGCCGGUCUAAGUUCAGAGUCCAGAAUCCUAUUGCCUAUCCAAGAUUUGGGUUAAUAAUUGGUAUCUGAGGAUAUUUCAGCAUGACAAAGCGGGCUCCCGUUUUCGUGCAUCAGUAAAUUGCUG